rnacentral:misc_RNA from 1 species
GAUGAAGAACGCAGCGAAAUGCGAUAAGUAAUGUGAAUUGCAGAAUUCAGUGAAUCAUCGAAUCUUUGAACGCACCUUGCGCCCUUUGGCCAUUCCGAAGGGCAUGCCUGUUUGAGUAUCAUGAACACCUCAACUCUUCAUGGUUUUCCAUGAUGAGCUUGGACUUUGGGGGUCUUGCUGGCCUGUGGGUCGGCUCCUCUCAAAUGAAUCAGCUUGCCGGUUUUUGGUGGGCAUCACAGGUGUGAUAACUAUCUACGCUUGUGGUUUUCCACCAGGGUAACCUUCAGCAGUGGAGGUUCACUGGAGCUUACAAAUGUCUCUCCUCUGUGAGGACAGCUCUUUGAAUGUUUGAUCUCAAAUCAGUUAGGACUACCCGCUGGACUUAAGCAUAUCAAUAAGCGGAGGA